GUGCUGGCUGUUGAUCACUUCUUCAGUGGCUACAGCUGUUUGGUUUGUAGAGGAGGUCACUGUGAACUGUGAUAGCUCCCACAGUGCCCCUGCUUUUCUUCCUUGCUCCUAACCAGGUCUACGUCUCUCAGCUUUGCUGGUUUGGAUGGUAUGAAACUGAAAUGAGAACUUCAUUUGCUGCCCUGGAAGGCUGGAAAAGCUGGUUGCUCGCCCCACUCUUUCUUCCUUGGUGAGGAGAACUCUUUCCAGCUGGGCAGUUCCCUCUUGUGCUGAGAAAUGCUAGCUUGGGGGAUGGGAUGAGGCAGGCAAAAUGAAGCUGUCUUCUUUCUCUUCUUGUGUGGUUAUUCUCAGGGUUUUUUGUUCUGCUGUGUUGCUGGAAUUUCUUAAGUGGGCCCCAGAGCUUUCCCAGAGCUGUUUUCGUUCGUGGAUAGCUGUCUAAGUGUUGAUCUUUGUGGGGAGACAGAGGCUGGGGUCUCCUACUUUGCCAUUUUGACCUGAGUAAAAUGUUUAUUAGAAGUGAUGACAGCAGGCAUUAUUGUCUUAUUUCUAAUCUCAGAGGGAAAGCAUUUGGCAUUUCACUAUUAACCAUCCUUGUGAGCGUGAAGUGGUAUCUCAUUGUGGUUUUGGUUUGCGCUUCCCCAACAAUUGGAUAUAGAUGACCAUCUUUCCCCAGAGCACAUUUGCCAAGAAAUUAAGUUGGAUGAUACAAGGCUUAUUUUGACUUACCCUUGAAAGUCACAAAGUACCACUUACAUUAAAUUGUAUUGGUCCAAAGCAAGCCACGAAUCCAUCCCAGAUUCAAGAGGAGGAGAUUACAAAAGAGCAUGAAUAUAAGGAGGUCUCAAACCACCACCAUUGUGUGUGCAAAGCGCCUUAUUCCCAGGAAGCCCAAAGACUGCUCCCGGUCCAGGUCUCUUGUAGUGAGCGGGUCAUAGAGACACACUACAUUUGUGGGAUCAGAUUCAACUGUCAAAGAGGAACCUGCCUGGCUCCACCAAAACCAAGUACAAAUCGCAGGAUUCCUCUUCGAUGGCUGAGUCCACAGCAUCUGCCGAAUCCUCUCUCUAUGGCUUGCCACUUGGUCCUAAGGGCUUGUUGGUCUUCACCAGAAGCAGCUUCCAAAUUGCUUCAACCUCAGAGACCAGCAAUUGUGGCCUCGUCAGCCUGCCAGAUCCUGUUGUUGCUCACCUAUGUGCAAAGCAAAGAACUUUCAAGAAGGUCAGAGAAUUCCCCGACAUCAGUUUUUGGAUUCCUUGUUCCUCCCUUGAAUGUGAAUACAGUAAAAUUGAUUAAAUAAUCCAGGAUUUUUACAUUAUAA
rnacentral:lncRNA from 1 species